UACGUAGGGUGCGAGCGUUGUCCGGAAUUAUUGGGCGUAAAGAGCUUGUAGGCGGUCUGUCGCGUCUGCUGUGAAAAUCCGGGGCUCAACCCCGGACUUGCAGUGGGUACGGGCAGACUAGAGUGGCGGUAGGGGAGACUGGAAUUCCUGGUGAUGAGCGGUGAAAUGCGCAGACUAUCAGGAGGGAACACCGGUGGGCCGAAGGCGGGUCUCUGGGC
rnacentral:rRNA from 1 species